rnacentral:rRNA from 3 species
AGACCCGAAACCCGGUGAUCUAGCCAUGGGCAGGUUGAAGGUUGGGUAACACUAACUGGAGGACCGAACCGACUAAUGUUGAAAAAUUAGCGGAUGACCUGUGGCUGGGGGUGAAAGGCCAAUCAAACCGGGAGAUAGCUGGUUCUCCCCGAAAGCUAUUUAGGUAGCGCCUCGUGAAUUCAUCUCCGGGGGUAGAGCACUGUUUCGGCUAGGGGGCCAUCCCGGCUUACCAACCCGAUGCAAACUGCGAAUACCGGAGAAUGUUAUCACGGGAGACACACGGCGGGUGCUAACGUCCGUCGUGAAGAGGGAAACAACCCAGACCGCCAGCUAAGGUCCCAAAGUCAUGGUUAAGUGGGAAACGAUGUGGGAAGGCCCAGACAGCCAGGAUGUUGGCUUAGAAGCAGCCAUCAUUUAAAGAAAGCGUAAUAGCUCACUGGUCGAGUCGGCCUGCGCGGAAGAUGUAACGGGGCUAAACCAUGCACCGAAGCUGCGGCAGCGAACGUAUCACCCAAGACAACUUUACGGAGUUGACGAUUGACGGAGCGAAGCGACGUCAAAGCGUUCAUUAAAGUCGAGUUGGCUUAGGGAUACGUUCGUUGGGUAGGGGAGCGUUCUGUAAGCCUGUGAAGG